AUACGGAGGGUGCAAGCGUUGUUCGGAUUCACUGGGUAUAAAGGGUGCGCAGGCGGCCCGAUAAGUCAGGGGUGAAAUAUGACGGCUCAACCGUCAAACUGCCCCUGAAACUGUCAGGCUUGAGUUCGAGAGAGGUAGGUGGAAUUCCAGGUGUAGCGGUGAAAUGCGUAAAUAUCUGGAGGAACACCGGUGGCGAAGGCGGCCUACUGGCUCGAUACUGACGCUCAGGCACGAAAGCAUGGGGAGCGAACGGGAUUAGAUACCCCAGUAGUCC
rnacentral:rRNA from 1 species